CUCGUUUGCUAUUAAAGACACAACUAUAACAACAACAAUAGUCAUUUUAAAACACACUUCAAGAAAACCACGAUAGCACACCAACCAAUUUAAAAAUGUACUCGUUUGUUAAAGCCACCGACUUCUUCACCAUCCUGUUCUUUCUAGCCACUGCAACUGUCGCAAUCUCCUUUAACACAUCUGAACUAGAUGUGCUCGAGAGGGCUCGAGCUUCGGUGGUUGAAGCGAGAACUAGGUUUGGUUCAAUGGCAACGGUUGAGGCAACAAAUGAAGUUGCUAGAAGUUAUUAUAGUUUGGGUUUAAGUGACUGUGAGAAGCUAUACGAUGAAAGUGAGGCAAGAUUGUCAAACCUUGUAGUGGCUCAUGAGAAUUUCACCGUUGAAGAUGUCAGAACGUGGCUAAGCGGCGUGCUCGCUAACCAUCACACUUGUUUAGACGGCUUGGAUCAGUCACGUCAAGGCGACAAGCCUUUGGUCCAUAGUAACAUUACGGUUGUUCUGGGAGAAGCUUUGGCUUUCUACAAAAAAACUAGAGGUCAUCUAAAAAAGAGGAGACCUAACCAUGCACCGACGAGACAACACCAUGCAACGACUAGACCACACCAUGGACCGACGAGACCAAAUCAUGGACCAGCCAGACCAUACCAUGGACCGGCCAGACCAAAUCAGAGCGGAGGAAUGUUAGUGUCAUGGAAUCCGACAGGGUCAAGGGCGGAUUUCGUGGUGGCUAAGGACGGUUCAGCAACUCAUCGGUCGAUAAGCGAGGCAUUAGCCGCCGUUUCAAGAAUGGGUAAAAGCCGAACGAAUAGAGUGAUAAUCUACAUAAAAGCGGGUGUGUAUAACGAAAAAAUCGAAAUAGAUAGACACAUGAAGAACAUCAUGCUAGUUGGUGAUGGUAUGGACCGUACAAUCAUCACCAAUAACCGAAAUGUCCCGGAUGGUUCCUCGACUUAUGGAUCAGCCACAUUCGGGGUGUCCGGAGAUGGAUUUUGGGCACGGGACAUGACGUUCGAGAACACGGCAGGACCACAUAAACAUCAAGCUGUGGCAUUGAGAGUGAACUCGGAUUUGUCUGUAUUCUAUCGGUGUAGCUUCAGAGGAUAUCAAGACACUCUUUUCACACACUCGCUUCGUCAAUUCUACCGCGACUGCCAUAUUUAUGGUACGAUUGAUUUCAUAUUUGGAGAUGCGUCUGCUGUUUUCCAAAACUGUGAUAUAUUUGUGAGACGGCCAAUGGAUCACCAAGGCAAUAUGAUCACAGCUCAAGGAAGAGACAACCCACAUGAAAAUACAGGCAUAUCGAUCCAAAACUCACGGGUCCGGGCCUCACCAGAAUUUGAGGCGGUUAAAGGCCAGUUUAAGAGCUACUUGGGCCGGCCGUGGAAGAAAUACUCUCGGACGGUGUUUCUCAAGACGGAUCUCGACGGGUUGAUUGACCCAAGAGGGUGGAGAGAAUGGAGAGGAGAUUUCGCUCUAUCAACUUUGUAUUACGGCGAGUUUAUGAACACCGGAAGUGGAGCAGGGACUAGUAGAAGGGUGAGCUGGCCAGGGUUUCACGUUCUUCACGGCGCCGACGAAGCUUCUCCGUUCACUGUCAGCCGAUUUAUACAAGGAGAUUCUUGGAUCCCUAUCACCGGGGUACCAUUUUCUGCCGGGGUUUGAGUCGGUCUUUAAGUAACUCGAUGAAGCCAGAGGAGUCGACCAGAGCUGAGUAAGACGCAUUCUCUUCCGAAGCCGUCAUGGUCCUAGACACCGUUCUGGUCCUGACCACUAACUAUUCUAUGAUCUAAACCAGCUAUUUCAUACAACUCUAACCUCUGAGGUUGUCCUAGACACCGUUCUGGUCCUGACCACUUCCAUGAUCUAAACCAGCUAUUUCACACAACUCUAACCUCUGAGAUACGUGACAUGAACCUUGGGGUAUCAGUGGGGUUUGAGCCGGUCUUUAAGUGACUCGAUAAUAAUAUCAACGCGCAGAAAUAUACAGAAGCCUGAGGAAGAGACCAGAGCUGAGUAAAACGCAUUAUCAUCCGAACCCGUCAUGGUCUUAGGUCCGACUUGUUUCCCCGGGUGGUAU